GGCAUUUGCGAGUUUUCGCUCACUCAUGUUCGAGGGAAAAUUGCUUGCGUGCAUGGGGAGGAUGGAUGCGUUUGACCAUAAGAAGCACCCAAAAUCCUAAAAUUGUAGAUCGCCUGUCGUCACACGCCAUGCCACGUGUGAAAAUGUCUGUUGUUUAGCUUAGUGAGAGGCAAGUAGGUCGGACUCGGGGGUCAGUUUCAGAGCAAUUGAGGCAAAGGGGUUGGGCCAUGAGACCAUGUGCCUAAUUAGCACCAUUGUCAAAAUGGACGUUUUCCAAUUCCAGGUAAAACACGAGGCGUUCCCAGUGUGACUUCGAUCACGCAGCCACGGCAGCCAGGUCUAACAACGGGCUUGUGAGGUGCCUCGGACUACAAGGUUGCACGGUUUCAACAUCUGCGAAGUAGUUAGUGGUUUGCGCCUGCCAUUCUAGUCUUCACGGAUGUUCAUUGUGGCUUUCCAGGUUACUUGGAUAGGGACUCGGUGAUAUGCCCGCAUGCAGGUUUGGGCAGGGAACAUCACAAGAACUUACAAGACCAAGUGCUUGCGGCAUUUGCGAGUUUUCGCUCACUCAUGUUCGAGGGAAACAUGCUUGCGUGCAUGGGGAGGAUGGAUGCGUUUGACCUUAAGAAGCACCCAAAAUCACGCGUGAAAAAAUGUCUGUUGUUUAGAUUAGUGAGAGGCAAGUAGGUCGGACUCGGGGGUCAGUUUCAGAGGAAUUGAGGGAAGGGGGUUGGGCCAUGAGACCAUGUGCCUAAUUAGCACCAUUGUCAAAAAUGGACGUUUUCCAAUUCCAGGCAAAACACGAGGCGUUCCCAGUGUGACUUCGAUCACGCAGCCACGGCAGCCAGGUCUAACAACGGGCUUGUGAGGUGCCUCGGACUACAAGGUUGCACGGUUUCAACAUCUGCGAAGUAGUUAGUGGUUUGCGCCUGCCAUUCUAGUCUUCACGGAUGUUCAUUGUGGCUUUCCAGGUUACUUGGAUAGGGACUCGGUGAUAUGCCCGCAUGCAGGUUUGGGCAGGGAACAUCACAAGAACUUACAAGACCAAGUGCUUGCGGCAUUUGCGAGUUUUCGCUCACUCAUGUUCGAGGGAAACAUGCUUGCGUGCAUGGGGAGGAUGGAUGCGUUUGACCUUAAGAAGCACCCAAAAUCCUAAAAUUGUAGAUCGCCUGUCGUCACACGCAUGCCACGCUGAAAAUGUCUGUUAUUUAAUUAGUGAGAGGCAAGUAGGUCGGACUCGGGGGUCAGUUUCAGAGGAAUUGAGGGAAGGGGGUGGGGCCAUGAGACCAUGUGCCUUAUUAGCACCAUUGUCAAAAAUGGACGUUUCCCAAUUCCAGGCAAAACACGAGGCGUUCCCAGUGUGACUUCGAUCACGCAGCCACGGCAGCCAGGUCUAACAACGGGCUUGUGAGGUGCCUCGGACUACAAGGUUGCACGGUUUCAACAUCUGCGAAGUAGUUAGUGGUUUGCGCCUGCCAUUCUAGUCUUCACGGAUGUUCAUUGUGGCUUUCCAGGUUACUUGGAUAGGGACUCGGUGAUAUGCCCGCAUGCAGGUUUGGGCAGGGAACAUCACAAGAACUUACAAGACCAAGUGCUUGCGGCAUUUGCGAGUUUUCGCUCACUCAUGUUCGAGGGAAACAUGCUUGCGUGCAUGGGGAGGAUGGAUGCGUUUGACCUUAAGAAGCACGCCAUGCCACGCGUGAAAAUGUCUGUUGUUUAGAUUAGUGAGAGGCAAGUAGGUCGGACUCGGGGGUCAGUUUCAGAGGAAUUGAGGGAAGGGGGUUGGGCCAUGAGACCAUGUGCCUAAUUAGCACCAUUGUCAAAAAUGGACGUUUUCCAAUUCCAGGCAAAACACGAGGCGUUCCCAGUGUGACUUCGAUCACGCAGCCACGGCAGCCAGGUCUAACAACGGGCUUGUGAGGUGCCUCGGACUACAAGGUUGCACGGUUUCAACAUCUGCGAAGUAGUUAGUGGUUUGCGCCUGCCAUUCUAGUCUUCACAGAUGUUCAUUGUGGCUUUCCAGGUUACUUGGAUAGGGACUCGGUGAUAUGCCCGCAUGCAGGUUUGGGCAGGGAACAUCACAAGAACUUACAAGACCAAGUGCUUGCGGCAUUUGCGAGUUUUCGCUCACUCAUGUUCGAGGGAAAAUUGCUUGCGUGCAUGGGGAGGAUGGAUGCGUUUGACCUUAAGAAGCACCCAAAAUCCUAAAAUUGUGAUCGCUGUAGAACACGCCACACGGUGAAAAUGUCUGUUGUUUAGAUUAGUGAGAGGCAAGUAGGUCGGACUCGGGGGUCAGUUUCAGAGGAAUUGAGGGAAGGGGGUUGGGCCAUGAGACCAUGUGCCUAAUUAGCACCAUUGUCAAAAAUGGACGUUUUCCAAUUCCAGGUAAAACACGAGGCGUUCCCAGUGUGACUUCGAUCACGCAGCCACGGCAGCCAGGUAUAACAACGGGCUUGUGAGGUGCCUCGGACUACAAGGUUGCACGGUUUCAACAUCUGCGAAGUAGUUAGUGGUUUGCGCCUGCCAUUCUAGUCUUCACGGAUGUUCAUUGUGGCUUUCCAGGUUACUUGGAUAGGGACUCGGUGAUAUGCCCGCAUGCGGGUUUGGGCAGGGAACAUCACAAGAACUUACAAGACCAAGUGCUUGCGGCAUUUGCGAGUUUUCGCUCACUCAUGUUCGAGGGAAACAUGCUUGCGUGCAUGGGGAGGAUGGAUGCGUUUGACCUUAAGAAGCACCCAAAAUCCUAAAAUUGUAGAUCGCCUGUCGUCACACGCCAUGCCACGUGUGAAAAUGUCUGUUGUUUAGCUUAGUGAGAGGCAAGUAGGUCGGACUCGGGGGUCAGUUUCAGAGCAAUUGAGGGAAGGGCGUUGGGCCAUGAGACCAUGUGCCUAAUUAGCACCAUUGUCAAAAAUGGACGUUUUCCAAUUCCAGGUAAAACACGAGGCGUUCCCAGUGUGACUUCGAUCACG
rnacentral:lncRNA from 1 species